ACUUUCAGCAACGGAUCUCUUGGCUCUCGCAUCGAUGAAGAACGCAGCGAAUUGCGAUAAGUAAUGUGAAUUGCAGAUUUUCAGUGAAUCAUCGAAUCUUUGAACGCACCUUGCGCUCCUUGGUAUUCCGAGGAGCAUGCCUGUUU
rnacentral:rRNA from 1 species